rnacentral:rRNA from 1 species
GUAGGUGGCAAGCGUUGUCCGGAAUUAUUGGGCGUAAAGCGCGCGCAGGCGGUUCUUUAAGUCUGAUGUGAAAGCCCACGGCUCAACCGUGGAGGGUCAUUGGAAACUGGAGAACUUGAGUACAGAGGAGGAAAGCGGAAUUCCACGUGUAGCGGUGAAAUGCGUAGAGAUGUGGAGGAACACCAGUGGCGAAGGCGGCUUUCUGGUCUGUAACUGACGCUGAGGCGCGAAAGCGUGGGGAGCAAACAGGAUUAGAUACCCUGGUAGUCCACGCCGUAAACGAUGAGUGCUAAGUGUUAGGGGGGUUUCCGCCCCCCUUAGUGCUGCAGCUAACGCAUUAAGCACUCCGCCUGGGAGUACGGCCGCAAGGCUG